UGCCAGACUCCUACGGGAGGCAGCAGUGGGGAAUAUUGGACAAUGGGGGAACCCUGAUCCAGCGACGCCGCGUGAGUGAAGAAGUAUUUCGGUAUGUAAAGCUCUAUCAGCAGGGAAGAAAGAAAUGACGGUACCUGACUAAGAAGCCCCGGCUAACUACGUGCCAGCAGCCGCGGUAAUACGUAGGGGGCAAGCGUUAUCCGGAUUUACUGGGUGUAAAGGGAGCGUAGACGGCGAUGCAAGUCUGAAGUGAAAGGCGGGGGCCCAACCCCCGGACUGCUUUGGAAACUGUAUAGCUGGAGUGCAGGAGGGGCAGGCGGAAUUCCUAGUGUAGCGGUGAAAUGCGUAGAUAUUAGGAGGAACACCAGUGGCGAAGGCGGCCUGCUGGACUGCAACUGACGUUGAGGCUCGAAGGCGUGGGGAGCAAACAGGAUUAGAUACCCCAGUA
rnacentral:rRNA from 1 species